rnacentral:tRNA from 1 species
GCGCGCGCGUCGGCAACGACGGCACGCUGUCGACGUUCACGCUGAAGGCGCGGCGCGUCGUCUGCGCGAUGCCGCUGUUCGUCGCGGCGCGCGUGUU